rnacentral:lncRNA from 1 species
UCAACGCGCUCGCGUCUUAAUAUCCUUUACAUGUGCCUGCAACUGGUGUUGUAGUAAUCUAUGAGCCACACAGGACUCAGCAAUCUCAUUUCCAAAGGUAUCAAGACUAGCAAAGCUUAAUAGGUGAGGUAUGGUUAAGUGGUGAGGCUGCAGCAAGCGACUAAGCAAUAUAUGAGGUGGCUAACUUACGAGUACAAGAAUAAAGAGGGGGAUGAUCUACGCAUAGCGGACGUGAACU